rnacentral:rRNA from 1 species
CCUACGGGUGGCAGCAGUGGGGAAUAUUGCACAAUGGGGGAAACCCUGAUGCAGCAACGCCGCGUGGGUGAAGGAGCGUUUCGGCGCGUAAAGCCCUGUCAGCGGGGAAGAAGAAAGACGGUACCCGACCAAGAAGCCCCGGCUAACUACGUGCCAGCAGCCGCGGUAAUACGUAGGGGGCGAGCGUUAUCCGGAUUUACUGGGUGUAAAGGGAGCGUAGGCGGUGCAGCAAGUCAGAAGUGAAAGCCCGGGGCUCAACUCCGGGACUGCUUUUGAAACUGUUGAACUAGAUUGCAGGAGAGGUAAGUGGAAUUCCUAGUGUAGCGGUGAAAUGCGUAGAUAUUAGGAGGAACACCAGUGGCGAAGGCGGCUUACUGGACUGUAAAUGACGCUGAGGCUCGAAAGCGUGGGGAGCAAACAGGAUUAGAUACCCUUGUAGUC